GAUGAACGCUGGCGGCGUGCCUAAUACAUGCAAGUCGAGCGAACAGACGAGUAUCUUGCUCCUCUGACGUUAGCGGCGGACGGGUGAGUAACACGUGGAUAACCUACCUAUAAGACUUGGAUAACUUCGGGAAACCGGAGCUAAUACCGGAUAAUAUAUUGAACCGCAUGGUUCAAUAGUGAAAGACGGUUUUGCUGUCACUUAUAGAUGGAUCCGCGCCGCAUUAGCUAGUUGGUAAGGUAACGGCUUACCAAGGCAACGAUGCGUAGCCGACCUGAGAGGGUGAUCGGCCACACUGGAACUGAGACACGGUACAGACUCCUACGGGAGGCAGCAGUAGGGAAUCUUCCGAAAUGGGCGAAAGCCUGAAGGAGCAACGCAGCGUGAGUGAUGAAGGUCUUCGGAUCGUAAAACUCUGUUAUUAGGGAAGAACAAAUGUGUAAGUAACUAUGCACGUCUUGACGGUACCUAAUCAGAAAGCCACGGCUAACUACGUG
rnacentral:rRNA from 1 species